CGGACCCGAGCUCCGGGACCUCCGCCCGGUCCAUUCCCGAUGUCCCCGAGUGCCCCCGAGGUGUCCCAGGUACAGCUCCGCUCCCAGGCUGCGGGGGCACACGCCUGAAUCCCAAAAUCCACCCCAAAACCCGCCCCAAAACCCGCGACCCCCGCCCAGCCCGGCCGCGAGCUCCGGGACCCCCGCCUGAACCCCAAAAUCCACCCCAAAAUCCGCCCCAAAUUCCUUCACCCUAAAAAGCCCCGCCCCGAAAUCAUCCCAGCCCCGUUACCGCCAUUUCUCACCCUAAAACGGCACUGCGGGGUCAGGGUGACCCCAAAUCUUGGGACACCCCCCCCCAAAAAACCCAAAAACUUCGUGAACCCCAAAUCCUCUCCCCCCCCACACACACCAAAGCAGCGCGACCCCCCCCAAAAGGAGGCGAUGUUGGAGGACCCCAAAUCUGGGGACACCUGACCCCAAAAUUCGACCCCAAAACCCCCUCGGGACCUCGCAGUCCCUUUGGGGGGGCUCAGGGUGGGAACCCCCCCCAAUAUGGGGAACACCAAAACCUUUGUGCCCCUCCCCCAAAACAUCACGGCCUCGUUUUGGGGGGACCCCAAAAGCCAAAAACCCCCAAACGCCCCACCCAAAAUGGGGGGACAGUCCGACCCCCGCCCAAACCCUGUAAACCCCCCUGGGACACCCCAAAAACACCCCGGACACCCCAAAAAUCCAAAUCAGCCCGGGACACCCCAAAAUCCCUGGAAUUGGAACUUGGACUAGGACCGGGACUGGGACUGGGACCAGGACUGGGAUCAGAACCGGAAUCAGAACCAGGAUUGGGACCAGGUUUGGGACGAGGACUGGGACCAGGAUCAGACCUGGGAUUGGGACCGGGAUUGGAACCAGGACUGGGACUGGGACCGGGAUCAAAACCGGGAUUGGGGCCAAAACCGGGAUUGGGGCCAGAACCGGGAUUGGGGCAAAAAUUGGGAUUGGGAUUGGUAUUGGGAUCAGAACCAGGACUGGGACCAGGAUUGGGACUGGGACCGGCACUGGGACUGGGAUUGGGUCUGAAUUGGGACUGGGAUCAGAACCGGGAUUGGGACCAGAAUUUGGACUGGGAUCAGAACCAGGAUUGGGACUGGCAUGGGAUUGGAACUGGGACCGGGACUGGAACUGGGAUUGGGAUUGGAACUGGAAUUGGAAUCAGAACCAGCAUUGGGAUCGGGACCGGGAUUGGGGCCAAGGUUUGGAACGGGAUAGAGCCAGGGCCGGGAUUCUGGUCCAGGUUCCAAUCCCAGGGAUUUUGGGGUGUCCCGGGGAAUUUGGGGGAUUUUGGGGUGUCCUGGGCUGAUUUGGGGGAUUUUUGGGGUGUCCGGGGUGUUUUUGGAAUCAGAACUGGGAUCAGGGCCAGGAUGGGAUUGGGGCUGGGGCUAGGAUUGGGACCGGGAUCAGAACUGGGACGGGGAUAAGAACUGGGACUGGGAUCAGAACUGGGAUCGGGACCGGGACUGGAACCAGGACCGGGACUGGGACCAGGUUUGGGAUGAGGACUGGGACCAGGAUUGGGACUGGGAUCAGAACCGGGACUGGGAUCAGAACCAGGACUGGGACCACGAUUGGGACUGGGAUCAGAACCUGGACUGGGAUCAGAACCAGGACUGGGACCAGGAUUGGGACUGGGAUUGGAACCAGGACUGGGACUGGGACUGGGAUUGGGAUCAGAAUCGGAAUCAGAACUGGAACUGGGACCAGGUUUGGGAUGAGGACUGGGACCAGGAUUGAGACUGGGGCCGGGAACAGAACCGGGAU
ensembl:lncRNA